rnacentral:lncRNA from 10 species
CUGGAGUGCAGUGGUGCAAUCAUAGCUCACUGCAGCCUCCAACUCCUGGGCUCAAGCAAUCCUUCUGCCUUGGCCUCCCAAAAUCCAGGGAUUAUAAGCAGGAGCCACCAUGCCCAGCCUUCAUUCAGUAGGUUUGAAUCCAAGUCCUGUGGCUGGAAAAUUGGCAUCCUUGACCCUUUCAAUGUCCUUAGAGCUCCUUUUCCUUUCCCUAAAGUUAUAGGAGCAACUCAAUGCCUCCUCAUGCAUUUCCAAAUGUCCCUGUUUGAGGCUAACUCAUUGAGUGGGUGAAGGAAAGAGAUGUGUUUGAAUUCACCCACAGAGAGGCAGGAGUGGAAUGAGAUCUUGAAGUCCUUAAUCCAAAACUCUUUCCAUUGAGAUGUUCAUGCAGGAAAAAAAAAAUAAAGUUAUUUCCAUAGAAAACUGUAUGUGUGUGUGCACCUGUGUGUGUUAAGGAGACAUGUGUGUAAAUGUGACCCAACACACAGUGUCAGACUGAGAAACUCCAGCACUUUGCAAGAAGCUAGACUUUGUACAUUUGAAACAGGAUGGAAGUCAUGCCCUGCACCAUAAAGUUAGCAUCUCACAGACACCUAAGCUCACCCACUCCCCAAGGUGCUUUUCUCUUCCCUAUGUUAAGUUAGUUUACAUUACAGCGAGGUGUUACCAAAAUGUCAGGGGUUCAGUCUAGGUCCUGCUAUUCACCACACAGAAAGCCAAUCACUGAGACAAUGAGUAGUGCCAAGGAAGAAGGCUUUAAUCCGGUGCUGCAGUUAAGGAGAUGGGAGAUCAGCCUCAAAUCCAUCUCCCUGACCAACUAAAAUUAGGAGUUUAUACAGCAGAGAAGAAAUGUAAUCAUGUGUGGGAAACAGGAAUUGGGGAGGGGUAAGGAAGAGAAGUUGGUCAAUGGGAAGCAGGUAGUUGCUUAGGCAAUUAUGAUGGAUGAGGGGUCUGGUAUCUCAUUAUCCAGAUGUGAUGGUCUUGUGAGUUUCAGCUCCUUGAUUCUAUCUGGGAGGCCUGAUGGUGGUUUCCUGAGAAAGGAACUCAGAUAAGACAAAAGUAACUUUCUUGAGUUUUAAGACU